rnacentral:rRNA from 1 species
UACGGAGGGUGCAAGCGUUAAUCGGAAUUACUGGGCGUAAAGCGCGCGUAGGCGGUUUAAUAAGCGGAGUGUGAAAUCCCCGGGCUCAACCUGGGAACUGCAUUCCGAACUGUUAAGCUAGAGUAUGAGAGAGGGUGGCGGAAUUCCGAGUGUAGCGGUGAAAUGCGUAGAUAUUCGGAGGAACACCAGUGGCGAAGGCGGCCACCUGGAUCAAUACUGACGCUGAGGCGCGAAAGCGUGGGUAGCAAACAGG